UGGAGCACGUGGUUUAAUUCGAUGCAAACCGAAGAACCUUACCUGGGUUUGACAUGUACGUGUUACUGAUCUGAGAGGAGAGGGACCCAUGCCUUCGGUAUGGGAGCGUACACAGGUGCUGCAUGGCUGUCGUUAGCUCGUGUCGUGAGAUGUUGGGUUAAGUCCCGCAACGAGCGCAACCCUGCAUCCAGUUGCCAUCGGGCGAGCCGGGCACUCUGGAGGGACUGCCGGCGACAAGCCGGAGGAAGGUGGGGAUGACGUCAAGUCAUCAUGGCCCUUAUGUCCAGGGCGACACACGUGCUACAAUGGCCGGCACAGCGGGAAGCGGAGGGGCGACCCUGAGCGGAUCCCUUGAAAGCCGGUCCCAGUUCGGAUUGCAGUCUGCAACUCGACUGCAUGAAGUUGGAAUCGCUAGUAAUCGCGGAUCAGCCAAGCCGCGGUGAAUACGUUCCCGGGCCUU
rnacentral:rRNA from 1 species